ACGAACGCUGGCGGCAUGCCUCACACAUGCAAGUCGAACGAUGCCUUCGGGCAUAGUGGCGCACGGGUGCGUAACGCGUGGGAAUCUGCCUUUCGGUUCGGAAUAACUCAGGGAAACUUGAGCUAAUACCGGAUAACGUCGCAAGACCAAAGAUUUAUCACCGAAAGAUGAGCCCGCGUAGGAUUAGCUAGUUGGUGAGGUAAAGGCUCACCAAGGCGACGAUCCUUAGCUGGUCUGAGAGGAUGAUCAGCCACACUGGGACUGAGACACGGCCCAGACUCCUACGGGAGGCAGCAGUGGGGAAUAUUGGACAAUGGGCGAAAGCCUGAUCCAGCAAUGCCGCGUGAGUGAUGAAGGCCUUAGGGUUGUAAAGCUCUUUUACCCGGGAAGAUAAUGACGGUACCGGGAGAAUAAGCCCCGGCUAACUCCGUG
rnacentral:rRNA from 1 species